CUAGACAGACGGGCCUNGAUCCCGUAAAAUCCUAGUUNACAGNUAGACACCCAAUCCAGCGGGCUU
rnacentral:tRNA from 1 species